GAAGAAGCAACUUGAAAAGAGACUUGAGAGAGUGCCGAGAAGGAGAAAUAAGAGAGGGCGUGGAAGUUUAGUGAAUUUUUUGGUGAUUUCGGUGGGAUAAAGGUGAAGGAAGGAAGGAACCGGAGCCUUAAUUUGAUCAAGGAAAGGAGAAGGUUUUGUGGACAAGCAUGCAUAAUUCAUGAUGUAAUGGAUAUUCGGAUGCAAUGCGUGAUGAUGUGUUUUAUCCAUCAGAUUGGAGACCACCUUUUAUAGUAUUUGUCCCCCUCCAGCCAUCAGCUAGCAUUUUAUAUUCAUCCUUAUGUGCCUAUUGAGAUGAUUCAUCUUAUCGAACGAUUGCGAUAUCUCACUGAGACAAGACAAACGCCUAACAAGUUCCAGACGGGAUUACACCAGACAAGUAUUGGCCGCUGUGGUAUUUUAGAUGCCCCCGAAGGUGGACCGUGGGCGGGAUUUGUUUGAUACUAUAUCAUGACAUCCCAAUGGUAGUUCGUGGGUCGAGUAUGUUUAUCCAAUGGUGAUUAUACCAUCCCAAGGUAGACUGUGGUUGGUACCAUCGUAAGGGUAGACUAUGGGUGGUGUAGCUAGUUGUUUGUAUUUGGGACCGACACGUGAGGGGUAUGACUUAGGUCCCAGCGUACUGGUAGUGAUUGUCUUCGGUUUAUACGAUCUUGGUAUGUGGUUCCAUAGCAUCUGGAAAUAUUAUACGGUGAUUAUUGCUUAUCAUAUGAAUGGUUAUGAUGUUGUAUGGCAUGCAACCAGAUUUUCACAUGCAUGUUUUCAAGGUUAAAACAUUUGUGUCUUGUGGCCUUUCGACAUUUUUCUAUGGACAGAAGAGUUGGAUCUUCCAAAAUCCCUCGAUGGUCUUCAUCAAUUUUGUGGCACACUUAACAGUAAGUAACCAUAAGUAUAUGUAUAUGUUAAAAUUUAUUUAAUAGUUUAAGUUUUUGGGUCAAGUUGUUUCUUAACAUAAGUCGAAUCUCAUGUAUGCGGCGUCUUGUUAUCUAUCUUGGUUGUAUGAUUGUUUAGUUCUGUGAGCUAUGGUCCCAGGGUUAACAUUAGUUUUGUUGUAAAUUAAUUGUUUAUUUGUAUUCACUAAGGUUCAUCUUGUUUUUCCCUUCUUCCUGGCUCUUCAGGAAGCUAAUUUUUAUAUUUUCCAUGAGCUGCCUCUUUCAAUAUAUCAGUUAGAAAAUCAUUUUCAUUUAUUUUUUUAAAGUCAUGUUUCUUUG